GACGUAGGGGGCGAGCGUUGUCCGGAAUUACUGGGCGUAAAGAGCACGUAGGCGGAUGCUUAAGUCAGGUGUGAAAGACCGCAGCUCAACUGCGGGGUGGCACUUGAAACUGGACAUCUUGAGGGCAGGAGAGGAAAGCAGAAUUCCUGGUGUAGCGGUGAAAUGCGUAGAAAUCAGGAGGAAUACCGGUGGCGAAGGCGGCUUUCUGGACUGACCCUGACGCUGAGGUGCGAAAGCGUGGGUAGCAAAC
rnacentral:rRNA from 2 species